GUUAGUCGCAGGUGUGUUUUAAAAAGUUUUACCGUUUAUUUUUAGACUAAUAUUUUAAUGUGUUGUGCUUGAAGAACGUUGUUUAUUACAUAUUAAAUUAAAAUAUUUAUUUUCAGACGAAAAAUAAAAUCUUUAAACAAUUUCUGUCUGUAUUUACUUGUUCAAUUGCCAGUGAAACGAACGAUAGAAAAGAAGAAGCAUUCAACUGUUUACCGUUUGGCUCCUGUCCCUAUCUAAUCUACUGGGUUUAAAAUAAAAGGACCGCGCUGGAAACAUGAGGGGGUAAAAAGAUACAGCCCUUUUUGAAUUAUUAGUCGAAGUUGUAACCAGCUCGUAUGAAAAGAGUUCUCGACGUGAAAUAGUUAACUUUAUUCAACAACGCCAAGAAACAGAGAUCGCUCAAGAAACAGAAGAGAAAGAGAAAGAUGAAAAAAUAUUCUGUUGAACAAUACUGUUGUUUUAUUUAUAAAUUAUUCUCCUAUGUUUAAACAUAUAAAA